UUCAUGUGAAGAGUCAAGCACAUUACUUGAUGACACUAAAGAUGAACAUUUCUCCAGCUUUAGUGACUGUGAUGCUGCUGUUCAUGCUUGAGAGGACCCAUGGAGAUUCGGUGACUCAGAAACAAGCUCAAAUGACUCUCUCAGAAGAUGAUGUCCUAUUUAUAAACUGCACUUAUUCAGCCACAGGGUAUCCAACUCUUUUCUGGUAUGUUCAGUACCCUGGAGAAGGUCCAGAGCUGCUUUUGAAAGUCACAACAGCCAACAACAAGGGAAGCAGCCGUGGUUUUGAAGCUACAUAUGAUAAAGGAUCCACCUCCUUCCACUUGCAGAAAGCCAUGGUCAAAGAGUCUGACUCAGCUGUGUACUACUGUGCUCUGAGUGACACACAGUGGCAGAAACCACUGUGGGAGCUGAGCAUAAACUCAGCACAGGGGCCUGAUGCUGAGCACCUGCCUCUGGGAUCUCUUUUGUUUCUCUGUGCUGUGUGCCUCUCCAUUUCUUUAGUUGGCACAAAAAUCAUAGGAAUAGCUACAGCAGAAGAACAAGAAGUAGAGUCUUCCGCACUCAACUCUUGA